CGCAUGUUUCUGUAUCAAAAGCAGUAAAUAAAAAGAUUGGUCCUGUCUUCUCAACCCACAUGGACGUCCACAGCUCUCCUUGGAACACAGGGAGUCAGGCCUCCCGCUCCUCCCUCCCUCUCCUACCACAAUCUCCGAGAGAGACGAUUCCUGGAGAAUCCACACAGACACACCCGGUUGUGGCCAAGCCAUGUGGUCAUGCUGUUGCCACAGGCGUUGGCCAACAUCCUUUCUUAGAAAGCCCGGGGCUUCGUGUUCCCCCCGCCAUGGGAGGGUGUGGCCCUGCCCAGCACAGUGGCUCCGCUGCUCGUUUCCGGCUUGUUUCUGGGGGAAAUGGGGUCCUGGUCCCCCCUGGGAUGGCCAGAGCAGGAACCUACCCGAGAGGGUCUCGUGCCUUUUAAUGACCCCGUGUUGGUCAACAGAUGCUCAGCCAAGUCGGAUGAGACCGGGUUCUGCCCUUGGUGUCCAUGUUGCUAGCUGGGGCAGGCAAAGGCAUGAACUUGCAAAGUCUCGGCUUAAUUCCUGGCACUCUGAGGUCCACCUCCUUCCUGAGGCUGGUGGUUACCGUGCUAAUCAGCUAGGCCGCAACGGCUAUUAGACAUGGCCGCGUGGGGAGUCCCGCCAGCCCAGCCCCGUCACCAUGGGCUGCCUUGAGCAGCUCCCCCAGCACCAGGCACUCCAAAUGCUGAGCAGCGGAGUCUGCCCAUGAAGGGUGGACGCACUCCCCCUGCUUCCGUAUUCAGGGGUCCCAGGCAAGGAGCCUGUCCUUACUAUACCACACAUGGAGGGAAGGAGGCUGGACCAUACCAGAAUGUCCCUCCCCACGGAGCCCAGAGCUGCAGGUCUUGAUGCCAAGAGGAGAUUUCCAUUUGGCCUCUUCCAGUCCAUGCCACGUGACCCACAAGAAAGAACAGAGCUGGGACGCAGGUCCCCGGGACUGGCAUCUUCGUGCUGCAUCACACAGCGGCCUUUCAGCACCUCCUCUGUUCAAGGGAAGCCAACAAACCUGCUCCCUGGACUUUGUGGGACAGAGGCCGCCACUCUGGGGAACAUUCCAUCCAGUUCUGGACCCAGGAGGGCUCAUCAUGUAUUCAUCUCAGCCCUUUGCAUUUGAAAAGAGAAGGUUUUCAGGCCAGGGUCUCUCCUCAGGGAUGACAUCAUACGUCCACCUCCUUGUCUUCAAGGACCACCUCCUCUUCAUGCCGAGCUGCUACCAAGGGGCCUGCUGCCCAUCUACGCCUUACGAGGGCACUAGGAGCACGGAUUCCUGGAUCCCAUCAGCAUACAAAGCAGCCACUGACUGA
rnacentral:lncRNA from 1 species